AGCCCUACCUAGGAACCUGCUGGAAGAUCUGCGCUUGCGCCCGAUACUCAGCCUCAACAACCUGCGACAGCAGCUGGAACCUGAGCCCGGAUGCCACCUUUAAUGAGCAAGUCCUAAAUCUGCAAGGUCUGGACAUCUGGGAAUAAACAAGCAGCCUCCCCCAACAUGCCUGAGUCCUCCCUGAUCAGCACAGCAGUGGUCUACUUUGCUCCACAUAAACAGUUGCUUAUCAAUGUCCUAAUCUUUGAUUCCAAAUAGAGUAAAAGGGAAAUAAUACAAUGUCAUUCCCUUAAAACUCCUAAAAAUUAUAUCAAAAUGAACAAAAAAAAAUGGUAGCUGGCUUGUGCUUAUAUCCCAAUGACCAAAAGAAAUAACCAAUGCCUUGGGUAUAACCCCCAACUUUGGGAGGGGGUAGAAUAAAAUGAGCGAGCUAAAUCAU